CUCUUGUUGAAGAUACUGGAAAAAUUUGAAGAUUUCUGAAAUUUUGCCCAAACUAUGGGGAUUUUUUCUCGUUUACCUCUACAACAAAUUAUGGUAGCUAGUGUUCUCGGUGUGUUAAGUGGAUUGUACAUAUUUGCCCCAGGAAUUAUUGAAUUUUCAAGCCAAAUACAGAAGAAAAAUGUGGAUGAAAGUGGACAAGAUCAAAUUCAAGAUGGUGGGCAAGCAGCUCUGGAGAACAAGGCAGAAAAUGUAUAGAUGAUGGUGAAUUAUGAAAAACUAACAUGGAUUAUUGGGAACUGAGAGGUGGGCUAAACGUUAGUUUAGUGGACAUCUAUGUGUCGUUGAAAGUAGUCGGGCAGACUGCAGGGUCUGAAAUUUGCAGUAUACCGAUAUCUCCAGGACACCAAAAAUUUGGUUUUGGAUUCCAAACUGUGAAUGACUUUUAUCCCGACCGGAUACUAAGAAAUUUUCAAACAUUAAGAAAAUGUUAAACACCUUUGACAGGCUUUUGAAAAAUAUCAGUUUGCCAGCAGACCUUAAUAUUGCCUGACUGGAAAGUUUGGAAAAAUUGAUAGUAAUUAUAUAGAAAGCAUCGGAGUUGUGCGCUGGAGAUAUCCGCCACGCAAUACAAACUUUCCACACUGGCCUCAUCGAAGACUAUACCUGUAGAUGCAUGGGCAGUUUGUUCGGUUAAAUACAGCCUGUGAUAAUUUGGAGCAUUUGCUUGUCAAUCCCCAGCAGUAUUACCCAAGUCUGGGUAGUUGAUUCUGGUCACAACUGAUUGAACGUAAUGGAUUCCGAUUGGCUUAUAUAGAGUGUAUAAAAAAAAGGUAAUCGAACUUCAGCGCGCUAUUAUACAUGAAUUACUCGGCGUAUGAACAAUUGGUUUUCAUAUUCGGAAAGAUCAGGCUUUUAGCUAUUGAGUGACAUGUUUUUCAUGCCAAGUGGAUAAAAAAUAAGCAUGUACGAGGCCGAUUAAAAAUGUUAGUCAAAAUUGCAUAUUUUCACCUCUGUGCCUAAUUAAAACAAUGCAUAACAAAAGAAAAAGCAAUUAAUCACGAACGCGUUGUAGCUUAGCUAAGAUUUAUUCAUAUACUUAUGAAUAUGUGCGUCGUUUAUUGAAGUGAAAUUCAUCAACUUAAGUACCCAAAGGGGGUUCAUUUUCAAUGGUUUUAGGGCCUGUUUACGAUUAGGGCCUGUUUACGAUUAGGGCCUGUUUACGAGGCCUGUUUACGAACAAAUGAAAUGCAACAACGAGUUAAAAUAACGGCAAUUGCAGAGUGUGAUAUGACUUGUUUACGUUAGCCAGAUCUUUGUUGACGUUUGAAGACAGCCAAUCAGGAUCUGCUGAACUUAACUAUGACCAAUCAUGUAACUGCCCAGAUCUAGUUAUAGUGCAGCCGGGGGUUGACAAGCAAAUUUUCACAGACUAUAUUCCAGCAUAAUACAGUCAGUACACAGACUAGUUAUUGAUAGCAUACUGGAAUUUGGUAUUGGAUAAAUGUUUUGAAAUCAUCACAUGCUUCCAAGCCCACAGAAAUUCUAUCAUGUAAAUAAACAACAUGAAAAUGUAUAUUUUCUGAACUCUUAUUAUACACUCAGUUCUUAUUUAUUUUCAAGUACAGAAGACAAAGAUUAACCCAUUUAAAGGUGCAGAGCUUCCCCAGUGACGAUUAAAAUCGUCUGGCAUAAGACAAGUAAAAAAAAGUAGGGCACACUGCGGCUUAUUUAAAUGGAUGAAAUAAAAAUUAUUUACAGUUUUUACAGGUGUCAAUUGAAAAUUAAAUGUCAGAUAAUUACUCUUGAUCACACAGGUACAAAUUGAAUGAAUAGAUUAAUGCAACGUUUCUUGUCAUUGUGUACUUGUAAAAUUGACUAAACUGAU